GCGUUCGUGCCUAACAGAGCCGUUUCAUCCGCGCGUCCGACAGACUGCGUUAUAAACCAAACUGAAUAGGCGAACAUGGCCUAUUGAAGAACACACCGUUGAGCCUCGCGGACCGUAAAAAUAAUGCGAAGAAAGUUGGAUUCGGGGCUCUUGAAUUAGAACGUCGGGAGGAACGAAGCGACACAGAGCGCAACUGCUUCUGCACGAAGUAAAUUUCUCCGGGCGAAAGUGUUUCUUUUUAAUUUUAGAUGCCCGCACGGGGGGUUGUUCCGUUGACUCGCCGAUUUCUUGAAUCGUUCAUUGAAUCAGCGGUGUCGCAUACGUCUCCUCGGGGAACGAUAUUCGCCCGCUGUCGGUUACGAAAAUAGAGAAUGAAAAUUGUACGAUCCGCGUAAGCGACAGUAAAGCCAGCAUACAAACGACAGGAUCGAUCGUUCGGACCUGGGGCAAGGAGGUGACGAUGCCAAAAACAAAGGAAACAAUUUAUGUGUACGUGCGGACUGGUCAGUGCCAGUGGUUUAGGCGCAUCGCUGAUCUAGAACACAAUAACAGCAAUCGAAACAGGUCGGGAGAAUAAUGGGGAACUUGGAUCAGUAUCGACGGGCUCCGUGGUUCAUCCUCUUCGAUAUUCCUAUCAGAAAACUAGUAAACAAAACGAAUUAUCUAGAUGACCAAUACUAACAAAGAGUUGUGGGUGACUGCGUGGAUGGGUGCCAAUAGUGUUCUUUCCGGUCUAAAACAACAGUAAACAAACAUUUGCGAUCUCACGCAUUUUCUUCUCGUUGUUGUCUCUCUGUUAAUAGGAACGGAGAUGUCUGAAGACGAAAUACAAAUUGAGAAAUCCUGUA